rnacentral:rRNA from 1 species
AGAGCGAACGCUGGCGGCAGGCUUAACACAUGCAAGUCGAGCGGGCGUAGCAAUACGUCAGCGGCAGACGGGUGAGUAACGCGUGGGAACGUACCUUUUGGUUCGGAACAACACAGGGAAACUUGUGCUAAUACCGGAUAAGCCCUUACGGGGAAAGAUUUAUCGCCAAAAGAUCGGCCCGCGUCUGAUUAGCUAGUUGGUGAGGUAACGGCUCACCAAGGCGACGAUCAGUAGCUGGUCUGAGAGGAUGAUCAGCCACAUUGGGACUGAGACACGGCCCAAACUCCUACGGGAGGCAGCAGUGGGAAUAUUGGACAAUGGGCGCAAGCCUGAUCCAGCCAUGCCGCGUGAGUGAUGAAGGCCCUAGGUUGUAAAGCUCUUUUGUGCGGGAAGAUAAUGACGGUACCGCAAGAAUAAGCCCCGGCUAACUUCGCGCCAGCAGCCGC